CCCCGAUCGAUCCGUGAUGGCUCUAUAAAUGUGUUCGUCAAAAAGCAGCUAGUUCUAAGUGCCAAACACAAAGAACGAAGGAACCAUGGCUGCUCUGAAAGCUCUCAUAUGCGUCGUGUUACUACUUGGAGUCAUCGGCUUCGCCUCCCCUCACAUCUCGGCGGGGCGUAUCGCUCCGGUGGUUGCUCCGGCAGUCCAUUGUGCAUCGACUGCCGAACCGAGCAUCGUAUCUACUGUAACAGCGGCCGUGAUAUCUAUCUGCUAUGAAUAGGAGGAUGCAGUGGUAGCGCUCCAGCUACCACAGAAGAGAAGGGACUGCUGCCUUCGAGAGCAUCUUCCUUCCGCCCCGCCUCCCACCGUCGCAUGAAAACCUGCUGAAAGUUCCACCAGGAAGCACCCCCUAAGGUGAAGGAAAAACAAGAUGGAACCACUAAGUCAUAAUAUUGAAUAAUGAUGUAACAGUUUUGGUUAUCGUGCAUGUAUGCCACCAUGGGGAGCCACGUAUGUUUCAAUUCACUGGUCUGUUCCGACAUACUCCUAUAUGUUUUAAUAGCAACUCGAUCGUUGAAAUGUUACAUCGAGUUUAUUA